UAUACCCUAGUAACAUAUUAAAAUGAUUUUGAAAGUCAUUAAUAGGUGAUUAAAU
rnacentral:tRNA from 1 species